AAUAGAUACCCCGGUAGUCCACGCCGUAAACGAUGAAUACUAGGUGUAGGGGUUGUCAUGACCUCUGUGCCGCCGCUAACGCAUUAAGUAUUCCGCCUGGGGAGUACGGUCGCAAGAUUAAAACUCAAAGGAAUUGACGGGGGCCCGGCACAAGCAGCGGAGCAUGUGGUUUAAUUCGAAGCAACGCGAAGAACCUUACCUAGACUUGACAUCUCCUGCAUUACCCUUAAUCGGGAAAGUUCCUUCGGGGACAGGAAGACAGGUGGUGCAUGGUUGUCGUCAGCUCGUGUCGUGAGAUGUUGGGUUAAGUCCCGCAACGAGCGCAACCCGUUAUUGUUAGUUGCUACCAUUUAGUUGAGCACUCUAGCGAGACUGCCCGGGUUAACCGGGAGGAAGGUGGGGAUGACGUCAAAUCAUCAUGCCCCUUAUGUCUAGGGCUACACACGUGCUACAAUGGCAAGUACAAAGAGACGCAAUACCGUGAGGUGGAGCAAAACUCAAAAACUUGUCUCAGUUCGGAUUGUAGGCUGAAACUCGCCUACA
rnacentral:rRNA from 1 species